UAUUGCACAAUGGGGGGAACCCUGAUGCAGCGACGCCGCGUGGGUGAAGGAGCGUUUCGGCGCGUAAAGCUCUAUCAGCAGGGAAGAAAGAAAUGACGGUACCUGACUAAGAAGCCCCGGCUAACUACGUGCCAGCAGCCGCGGUAAUACGUAGGGGGCAAGCGUUAUCCGGAUUUACUGGGUGUAAAGGGAGCGUAGACGGCGAUGCAAGUCUGAAGUGAAAGGCGGGGGCCCAACCCCCGGACUGCUUUGGAAACUGUAUGGCUGGAGUGCAGGAGAGGUAAGUGGAAUUCCUAGUGUAGCGGUGAAAUGCGUAGAUAUUAGGAGGAACACCAGUGGCGAAGGCGGCUUACUGGACUGUAACUGACGUUGAGGCUCGAAAGCGUGGGGAGCAAACAG
rnacentral:rRNA from 1 species